ACGGGUGAGUAACGCGUAAUCAACCUGCCCUUCAGAGGGGGAUAACAGUUGGAAACGACUGCUAAUACCGCAUACGAUCUAAUCUCGGCAUCGAGGAUAGAUGAAAGGUGGCCUCUACAUGUAAGCUAUCACUGAAGGAGGGGGUUGCGUCUGAUUAGCUAGUUGGAGGGGUAACGGCCCACCAAGACGAUGAUCAGUAGCCGGUCUGAGAGGAUGAACGGCCACAUUGGGACUGAGACACGGCCCAGACUCCUACGGGAGGCAGCAGUGGGGAAUCUUCCGCAAUGGACGAAAGUCUGACGGAGCAACGCCGCGUGAGUGAUGACGGCCUUCGGGUUGUAAAGCUCUGUUAAUCGGGACGAAAGGCCUUCUUGCGAAUAGUGAGAAGGAUUGACGGUACCGGAAUAGAAAGCCACGGCUAACUACGUGCCAGCAGCCGCGGUAAUACGUAGGUGGCAAGCGUUGUCCGGAAUUAUUGGGCGUAAAGCGCGCGCAGGCGGAUAGGUCAGUCUGUCUUAAAAGUUCGGGGCUUAACCCCGUGAUGGGAUGGAAACUGCCAAUCUAGAGUAUCGGAGAGGAAAGUGGGAUUCCUAGUGUAGCGGUGAAAUGCGUAGAUAUUAGGAAGAACACCAGUGGCGAAGGCGACUUUCUGGACGAAAACUGACGCUGAGGCGCGAAAGCCAGGGGAGCGAACGGGAUUAGAUACCCC
rnacentral:rRNA from 1 species